rnacentral:rRNA from 1 species
GAUGAACGCUAGCUACAGGCUUAACACAUGCAAGUCGCGGGACCGGCGCACGGGGGAGUAACGCGUAUCCAACCUGCCCCUCACCACGGGAUAACCCGGCGACAGUCGGACUAAUACCGUAUGGUGAAGGAUGGGGGUGCGUCCGAUUCGCUUGACGGGGGGGUACCGGCCCGACGUGGCUACGGUCGGGAGGGGUUCUGAGUGGAAGGUCCCCCACACUGGAACGGAGACACGGUCCAGACUCGUACGGGAGGAAGGAGUGAGGAAUAUUGGUCAAUGGGCGUAAGCCUGAACCAGCCAAGUAGCGUGCAGGACGACGGCCUAUGGGUUGUAAACUGCUUUUAUGCGGGGAUAGGUACCGCAUGAAUAAGGACCGGCUAAUUCCGUGCCAGCAGCCGCGGUAAUUC